rnacentral:lncRNA from 1 species
AAAUUGUUCAUCUUGGGUCCUCCAUUUUGCUCCAAUAAAAUUAAUUUUUUUUUUUGAAGCUAUUUUUAUUUUUAUUUUUUUAAACAUAAUUGAUAUCUACAUUGUAUUUUUGUUGCAGUUUUUCUGUUUGUAUUUUCAGUUUUUGUGUGAAAAAGUGUUGAAAUGAUAUUUUUUUUUUAAUUUUAAAAACCGUUGAUUGUUUAUAUAAAUAUUGUAUAACUGAAUAAAUAUUACAAAAUCAAGUUUGGUGUAGUGGUUGGUGAGUGAGCCUUCCUCCUUUGAGGGUCAAGGUUCAAGUCUCUUCAAUGACACAAUUUUUUUAUUUUAUUUUAUUAAUGUGAAUAAAGGGCAACGGAGUUGGUCCCUUGCUGACGAUGGCAAGCCGACGACGGGCAGUGGCGGUGGUGGCAGGUGGCCUGCGGUGGGUGGCGGUGGUGGCCGGCGGUGGUUGACUAUCAAGGUUCAAGUCUCUUCAAUGACACAAUUUUUUUAUUUUAUUUUAUUAAUGUGAAUAAAGGGCAACAGAGUUGGUCCCUUGCAAACGAUGACAGGCCGACGACGGGCAGUGGCGGUGGUGGCAAGUGGCCUGCGGUGGGUGGCGGUGGUUGACUAGAUAUGGAGAUGUGGCAUAGUAUGCUUGCUUUAGAAGGAGUGGCAUUGUGUGUAAUUUUGAUAUUUUCUAAUGACAUUUUUGUAAAAUUAGGUACUACAUAUCGGCUUUGGCCUAAUGCUAAUUAGAUGAAAUUGUAUUUCUAUCUUCCAAAUUAGUAAACUAUAUUGUGGUUUAAAACUAAAGCUCCCUUUUUUGAAUCUAUU